UACCAGCACCCCGAGUGGUCGGGACGUUUAUUGGGCCUAAAGCGUCCGUAGCCGGUUCUACAAGUCUUCCGUUAAAUCCAACUGCUUAACAGAUGGGCUGCGGAAGAUACUAUGGAGCUAGGAGGCGGGAGAGGCAAGCGGUACUCGAUGGGUAGGGGUAAAAUCCGUUGAUCCAUUGAAGACCACCAGUGGCGAAGGCGGCUUGCCAGAACGCGCUCGACGGUGAGGGAUGAAAGCUGGGGGAGCAAAAGGG
rnacentral:rRNA from 1 species